rnacentral:lncRNA from 1 species
AAGCUUCAACAAUCGUUUACACAAACAUUCAUUGCAAAUGUUGAUUGUAUUGAACUGAUAAAGUACAUGUACACACACAUUUAUUAUAAACAUACACAAAUACAUGUGUGCGUAUGCGCACGUGUAUGUAUUGAUAGUUUUGUGGAGUUUAAAAUAGAAGUGUAUGAUAGAGAAGGGAGAGGGAGAGAGAGAGAAAGUGAGAGGAGAUGGAAGAGAGAAGGUUUGUGGAAAGGGAGAGUGAGAAAGACAGUGGGUAAAGGAGAGAAAGAAAAAUAGUGAGGGAAGGAGGAAGACAAAGUGAGGGAGGAAGAAGAGAUAGUGAACGAAAGAGCUGGGAGAGUAAAAGAGAAGUAGGGAGGAAGGAAGAGAGAUAGUAAGACAGAAAGAGAAAAAGAUUGUGAGGGAGGGAGAAAAGAUAACGUUCAUGUGCUGUGGUGACGUCACACCCUCCAGCAGCAGCAGCAGCAGUGGCUACAAGCGCUCAACUUAAAAUUGUACAAAAUCAUCAUUACAUACAUAUAUAGAAAAUAAUUUUUACACACACAUACAUGCAUAGAAAAUGUAGUUUUAUUACUUUUACACACUUUCACUUUAAUAAUUCCCUUGUUUCAUGCUCAAAUAACUGCCACCAUAACUGUUCUUUCUCAUCACCAGUAACAACAGCAACACACGCGCGCAUAUUUAUAAACGAAACAAAACAAGUCGAAAGCCAAAAAUACAAAGAAAACUAUCACACACACACACAUAUAUAUAUAUAUAUAUAUAUACAUGUGUGCACACACACACAUGAGACUUAAAGGAAAAUCAAUAAAUGAAAAGAAAAAAAUAUAAAGACCACUCGAUCUUUCUCCUACUCGUUUACUCCUGUUUUUCUUAUUUUAUUACUGUCUCUUUCUUUUAUUAAUUCUGUCAUCUAACUCAGCCUAGAUCCUUUUCUGCCUGUUUAAAGAGUAAUUCCAUUCUGGUUGGUACCCCCCGAAAAACGUUUAUAUUUCAGCCUUCCAGCGACAACACCACUUCCAAGAUUAAAACAGGGCUCUUCUAAAAUAAAUAAAUAAUGACCCUUACACAUCAGCUACUGCUACCGCUGUCAUUGGAUCUCUAAGCAUUAUGAUAUUUUAUAUGCGUUCUGAUGGUUACACAUAUAUAUAAUUGGCACAGGGCCUCCGAGAUAAGUAGGAAAGCGGAAUGAAGGUAUACUCAAACCAAAGAUCUGGCCCUAAUGCUCUCAUAUAUAUAUAUAUAUAUACAUAAACGAUCUUAGUUCAAAUCCCGUUGGGGGUCAACUUUGUUUCAUCUUUUUCGGUGUAUAAUAAAACUAUAAUCUUGGUGUCCUGGACAAUGGAUGGGCUCUGAUGGAACUAAGAACGUCGAACUGGUUGCUUUGUGGUAUUUGCUUUGGCGCUUUGCGUUCUGUGUUCGAAUUCUGUCGUGGCUAACUUAGGUAGUGUACUUAAUCCGUCACCCUGUCUUAAAUAAUCAACUCUGUUGCGAGCAUUAGGGUCAGGUCUUUAGUUUGAGUAUACCUUUAUUCCGUCGUCCAACUAAUUAAUCAAGGAGGCCCUGUGCCAAUUAUAUAUAUAAAUGUAACUUUUGAGUAGAUAUUUUGGAAAAACACAAUGCACUACAACAUCCCUUCUUACUCUCUCCAUCACAAAUUUCGGGUUAUUCUAAAUAAGCGUAAGGAGCACUUAAUACGUCUCAAAGUUUUUUGGUGCUGCUUUUUCAUUGUUUCAAUUUGAAAUCUUAAAAAAGGACAACAACAAAAACCCUGUGUGUUUUGUAUUUUUAAAAAUAUCGCAAACAAUAACGUGUCUGCAGGGUAAUUUGCAGUUGUCAUUCAUAUUUGAAGCUAAGAGGGGUUCCUUCUUCCGUUUCCCGAGUUUCAUUCAAAAAGUUGCUUAAAAUUUUGCUAUUCCUUUAUAUAUAUACACAUAUAUCAUCACAAUAAUAUAUAUAUAUAUUCCUCUUGCCAUUCUAUUCCUUUUAACCGAGAGUCCGCCGUCAUCGUAUCCUCGUCCCACAAAACUGAUUAAGCUUGACUGAUCAAAUUGGCUCCUUGUCGAAGAAAGGGAAUCGUUUUCUUCUACCACUCAACAUUCUCAACACACUAACAAACAUCUCUACCCCAUCCAACCACCACAAUUAGUGUCAGCUCUUUCCAACCCCAGCUCUCAACUAUGAUCCUACUAAAGGUCUUGACUCUUUACUUUAAGAUGUCCCCUUCUCUCCAUACAUUUUAUAUUGAGUGGGAUCCACUAUGGAGUAGAAUAAACUGCAGCGUAUUUACAAGUCUUUCCUGUUUUUUCUUUGUGCGUGCCUUGCUUUUUGUUUGUCCUUAUGAUCGACACAAUCAUAUCGAAAGCGUGAAAUAAGUUACAUGGGCAGUUUAAAAUGUGUUUGUGUAUGUUUAAGUAUAUAUGUACGCGUGCGUAGUUUUAUCCAGAUUAAAAUUAUUGUCUACACACACACAACUACCAGUGCCAGCUUUAUGUCUUUUAACUAUAUUACCUCUGUGAUAUAUAAAUAAAUAUUUAGAUAGAUAGACACACACUACAUCCGUUAUUUAUCUGUUGUGGCAGCAUGUAGUGGGUUCUCUCUCUCUAUCAUACAUACACACACUCUCUGUAUCUCCCUACACUCUCUCUUUCACUUUUAGUACCGUCACCACCACCACAACUAUCAUCGUCACUAAGCAGCAGGAGAACCGGCUUCGCCACCACCACCAUCACUACCAUCAUCAUCACAAUAAUAAUACAGGCUUUAUUGACCAUUAUUUCUCCUUUUUCUUCUCGCUCUUUCAGCCGUUUAUCUCCGACAUAUUUAUUCGUACUUUAGCUUUAGUAGCUCGUGUAAGUUUUUCUGCAGCGCUAACCAACUCUGAGUGGUUUUCUUGUCCUACCAGAGGGGACGCCCAAGGUAAGUCCCAGAAAAAUUCGAACAAACUUUCGCUACCAAAACCAAUCAAACAAAAACAAAACAUUUCUUUGGAAGGACUUUACGUACAAUAUGACAUUUUUCUCUCCCUCUCUCGUUCUUUCUUCCUUCCGUCCUUGUAGUUAAAUUCGUUUUAAUUGACAGAUAUUGCUGGUUGUGUAUUAUAUAUAUAUACAUUUAUUUUCCUGUUCAUCAACCCCAGGCAUUAUCAGUCAAUUCGCUUUUAAACCGGAUCGUCAAGGACACAAUUCUACUUUGUUAUUUAUUCAUCUUCUCCAACUUCAUUUUGACUUUUCUUCUCAACGUACGAAGGUAAAGAAACAAUAAAACAAAUAUAACAGAAUACAGUAAAUAACAAAAAUAAAUAGCGACAUAUAUCUAAAACUAUUCUAGAAGUAUUCUUCAUUAGCUAUCAUUAAACUUAGUAACUUAAUUCAUCUAAAAUACUUCAAAUAUAAACAGAUGUAUAUCAUUUUAUGUGGCAUUCAUUAUUGACUGUUUUCCAUCUUAGAUAUACAAUUGUCCCUUAGGGAUCACAUCCUUUCAUUUGUAUUAUUAUUGUUUAUGAUAUAACCCUUAUCCAAAAAUUUGCUGUAGCACUCAACUUUGGUUUGUUUCGAAUCUAGAAACUUCAAGUAAAGGACGAAAGAAAUUUAUAAAAUAAAUAAGGAUGACGAGAGAAGCAAUGCAAUAAAGGUUGUUGUUGUUGUUGAUCUUUGGUUAAUUUAAUUUUCUGAUUUGCUCACGAGUUGUGAUUUCUCGAUUAUAAAAGGUGUUGUGUGAGAAGGAAAUAUUGAUCUGUUGGGUGUGGAUGUCGAGUGAGAGAUAAACGAAUUUAAUCUAAGAAACAAAACAUCACAACCACACACAGUAUUGGCUCCUCUUGUUGUCAACUUCAGGCAGAGAAGUAAGUUUUCUUUUUGGCUUUUUCACUUUAUAUUGAAGUUUCUUCCUCUCUCUCUCUCUUCGUAUAUGUGUAUAAAUAAAUAUAUAUUUGAUAAACUUAUUUUACUAAUAAAUAUCAAGCUGAGGAAAUGUUUUGGGUUUCCUCUUGUGUUCUUUGAACUUUCUAUCUUUAACAUUCCUUAGUUUCAUGUUGAGACAACUGUUUAUCUUUUGUCCAUCGUUUGUGAGCUUUCCUCUCUUACAUUUCGAGGAGGAUGUUUCAAUUCCCCGUUUUUGUUUAUACUCAUAAAAGCUUGAGCGUGUAUAUACUCAUACACACACAUAUAUAUAUACACAUAUACACAACCAUGCUCUCGUCUUUCUCUUGUUGACACCUGUCUCACAACACAACAGACACACGUGGAACAUAAACAGUUACUACUACUACCAGAUGCUUUUUAAAGUUAUCGAGUCCCCACCAGGUAAUUUAUAUAAUUUACUUCAUAUCUGAAACCUUUAUCCCUAACAAAAGCCAUAAUACAAGGGCCUUCAAAUAACUCUGUCAUUUGAAUUAUUAAAACAGGAAUGAGCCUCCAAUUAUUGCUUUGUGUUCGUUCGUACAUGUGCGUCGCUUUGCCUGGGAUUUUUUCGGAAUCAACUGAUGAGAAAUUCUCUUAAACCAGCCGUUUAUUCGUUGUAAUUGGUAAUUAAAUUAAUUUGGGGCUAUUUUGGUAUUCUUACUUAUGUGAAAUAAUAUUUAAACACUUCUAACUUGGAAGCGAGUUGCUUUUAUUGUUCAUUCACUUAGUCAUCUGUAAUCCAUUAGCAGUUUUUAAUAUACCUGACUGAUAUUUCCUCGCUUCUUUGCCUCCUAGCACUGCACUGAAAUUUGAUAGGAUUUUUUUGUACUUCUACAAAUGAAAAGCCAAAAAUUCAUUUAUUCAAGUUAGAUUGGUCAGUUUGUUCGGUAAAUAAUCACUGGUUUGGUCAAGGAAAUACACUCAGUUUGUAAACAUCCUCUUUGGGAAUAUCUUGUUAAAUGGUUAUUUAGAAAGUUGUGUUUUUCACCAGGAAAUAAAAUCAAAUAAUAGAAUAAAAAAUAUGACAUGUAUAAAAUAAAAUGUCCUUCACCUUGUUAUCAGAAUAAAAAGAAAAAAUGCUAUAAAAUAGCUCUUGUGUUUAAUUAUUAUCAUGUGUGGGUGCGUUAGGAAUGAAUGGAUGGAUAAGCUUUCUGUCAAAUUAGAAAUUAUCUGAAAAACCAGUAUUACCAUUAGAAUAUUUCUGUGAGUGGUGGCUUAAAGCUAUUUUCAGUUGGUAUUGUGCUUUCUUCCUUUAUUUAUCCUUCUUUCUAUUUCUAUAUCUCUCUUCCCUUUUCAUAUUCAAAACACAUUUUCAAUUAGACUGUAAUUAAUUCUGUCCAUAGUUGCUUCUGAUACAAGCACCACAAUCAAAUGGAGAUGUUUGCUAUUUUUUUUUUUUUUUUUUUGGUUUUUUCCUUUUUCCAUUUCGUUGGAGUAAAAAAAAAAAAAAUUAUUUAAAAGCCGAGUAAAAUUAGACAGAGGAGAGAGAGUAAGUGAGAAGGAAAAAUAAAUGAGAAAGAGGGAGUAAAUUUGAUAUCUUUAACUGUCAGAACAAAUGUAGUAGAACCUUCCAUUUUGGCGCUGUCAACUCCCCAGCACACUUUCAAUAACAAGCAUCUUUUUGUAAGCUGACUGGUAUGAAACAAUUUAUUUUUUUCUCUCAUUUCUAUAAUUUUCUUCCUUUCCAAAUGUCUUUGUGUACGUGUGUAUGUAUAUGAAUGAAUGUAUGUGUGUGUGUGUGUGUUGUAUGUUCGAACAGUUGGCUAGCAUCUUCAUUCUUUCUUCCUCCAGCAACUGUCAAUUUUCCUCGCAUUCAAUCCAUCUAUUCCAAAGAGUAUAAUCAAUGUUCUCGGCCCUUCUACUGUUUUCCAUAUCUAGGUUAACAGAUAUCGGAGUCAUAUCUAAGAUAAUGUCUGCCGCAUUUUUGUGAACAGGGAGUUAGUUGGCAGCGAUGAUGAUGAGAGUGUGCCAGUGUUUCCAAUAUGAAGAAGAUAGACGGGUCGUAAUCAUGACUUCCUCGAUUACCUCCCCCUUCCUACUCUGUCACCAACUUGAAC